CGCCCCGGGGAGGAGCCCCUCCGCCGCUGCCCCCGGCCCGCCGCCCGCAGGGUCUCCCGCAGCCCCGGGCUGGCUUCAUCGGGGCAGGGCAACCCCCGACACCCCCCCGUCCCGAGGGCUUCCCCCGUCCGUCCCGCCGAGGCAGGCGCUUUACCUGGUGCUCCUCCAGCUCCUCCACCAGCACCUGGGGAGAGACGGACACACGGACACACACACAUACACACAAAGGACGUGAGUCCGGCGCCCGCAGCGCAGCGGCUCCCCCGCCUGCCGCCCCCUUGCCCCGGCCCGGCUCGGCCCGUCCAGUCCCCGCCCGGCCCGGCCAGAGCCCCCGGCUCCCCGCUCACCUGGGCGGAUUUCUUGCAGGGUCCGGACUGCAGGAACCGGGCGAUCAGGUUCAUUGAUCAGCUUGUCACCCACAGAGACACAAGGUGCCGCCUCGCCAAGCUGCAAACCUCCGUUCUAGGGAUAGUAACAGCUCUCCCACCUCCCCAGCGUUACACCAGAGCCUCUGAAGUUACAGCACGGGUGCUUCUUGGGAGAGAGACAGUCCAAAACUGCAGUUCUCAAAUUACCAGCUAGGAAAAGAGCAUGGUGGUACUCGCUGUCCUUAGAGGUAACGUGUUUCUAACCUGUCUGCAGAACUGAGGAUUGCAAGCUCAGCUUUUUAUGCAUGACAGGAACACAUAAAAUGUAUGUUUUAUAAAGAUGUUUCAUAGUAUACCUUGAAACUAUCUAUCAAUCUGUGUCAAGAGAAAACCCAGCACCAUAAAUGUUGUAUAGCACCAUGUCCUGGUGGGUUGUAGUGCUAAGAGUUACCCAAUACAUUUCUUUAUGAAUAUAGUGGCACCUUUUUCCUUGGCGCCUUUUGGUCGGUGCCUUACUGAAUCCUCUGUGAUUUGCUUUUAUUUGAGGUUGGGGUUGGCAACACGUGAAGUUGCACCACCACAAUAGGCAGGAUUGUUCUUUGGGGGCCUGUAGAGCUGAUGGGAAUUUCUAUGAUAGGUAAAAUAGGCUCUCAAAUGGAAAACCUGGGAUAGAAAAUGUCCUCAAAGGAAGCUUCUCUGUCCCUUGCUUAUGUCCUUCCCACACCAUUCCAUACAGGAGCCUCGCCCCAUGCUCUUUGCCUAAGUGCUUACAGAUACUCGACCUCGCCGCUCCAUGUUGCUCCAUGUUGCACCCUCAUUGCUGCUCAGGUGGAUUCAUGCAUCAACAAGAAAGGAGCGUGUUAGUAAUCACCCAACUAUUUGUUGCGUGUGUGUGGCAGAGUACAGGUGCACAGGCAUCCUGCAGCCCAGUGAGUACAAACAGAGCAUUAGUCAUGCCCAAAACAGCCAUUGUGUAACUCUUCCCUUGGCUGGGCUCCGUCAAUGCGUUGUGGCUGCAGUUUACUGCUCUGCAGUGACUCCCAAGCCUGUUCCCAUGUUGCUGGUUCCCUGGCACCUCAGCUUCCUAUCAUUAAUGUUUUCCCAGUUGCUUUAUUAUUCCCUGAGGCUGCUGUAAGGACUGUGAUUGAUAGCUCUUCCCACUUCUCCUGGGUUUCCCCCUUAAGGAGUCGUCUGCCUGCUGAGUAAUGCCCAUCCUCAAGUGUAGCUUUGGUUCCCCGGGAGCUCUGUCUCCACAGCACACUGCAGCCACACGCGCAUCUUGCAGCUCCGUGACUCAUCUCUUUCCAGAUCCUCUGCGUCCAAGCAGCAGCAUGCUGGGGGAUGAUAGUAAAUCUCCUAGUGAAAGCCAGAUUUUAUGGUUGUGCUUAUUCAUCUUUCUCUAAAGCAGAACUCUAUUAUGUAAAUGCCAACAGAAGCAGUGGCACUGAGAGGUGAAGAACAUACUAACUGGCGUGGUAAUUGUUGUUAAUGGACAAUGGAGUAUUCAGAAGCAGAGGUGCUUUGAGAAAGAAGCUGGAUCGUAACAGUUUCUUUCCAUACUGCUCUUUAAAGAAUAAAUAAGUAGAAAUUAAAGCUUUUAAAGGAUACUAGGAGUAGAAACCAGUAAUAUUCAAAAGCCCAUCACUUCCACCCAUUUGGUUUGGUAGAAACGUCUCAGCACUUGAAAACAAGCUGAUUUUCAGCUUUUUGCCUCUUUCUGGUCCACCCAGGCUCCACUAGUGCUUGCACUCAGGGUGCUUCUCAUACCUUGGCCACUGGCAGCCUGUACUCCGCUACGAAAUGGCCCAUCGUGCCCUGUCACUGCAGUUGAGAGUAAAUGCAAGUCAGCAGAGUUUAUCUCUCUUUAAUUUGACUACAAAUUUAAAUUAACUUCCCAAUAGUCAGCUUGCAACACCAGCUAAAUGUCUCUCUCUUUUUUCUUUAGUGUUGCACUGUCCCAGUGAGUCAGAUUCUGACCUGCUUUAGCAUAGUGUGAAAACAUGAUUGCAGGUUUUCACAAACCAGACAAAAAUGUGCUGCUGCAAAUCAAAAAAAGGAGGUUUAGAGUGGAAUCGUGCAGGUAUGCCUGGAUUCUACCUUUACUUUUCAGUAAAUGUAGAUGGGAAUACAUAUGUCUGAAUCCAUUUGGGUUUAAACACUAGAGCAAGUUAAGCAUUCUCAGCUUUUUUCUGUAUUUUCCAUGCACAUUUCUAUGUGCAUCCUGCUUAUUUUGGUCCUUUCAUAUGCAGCUAAAUGGCAAACAAGGAUAGUAAUUGUUGCAGAAAGGAAGUCGAAGGUUUUGCUUAACUGGUAGAAAAAGAAGUGCUAUUUAGCAGGAAUUAAAUAAUUGGUGCCUUGUACUAUGCAGUUACUAUGUAAGCAAAUAUGGAUAUAGGAAAGUCAAGGUUUAUUUUAGGAUUAUCUCUAAAUGCAGCAACUUAAAAAUUAAAUGUAGUGUCAUAGCUUAUUUAUUCUUUAGAAAAAGAGAGGUGCAAAAAAUUAGCAGUAAUUGCAGUCAUGGGCUUUGCUUGAGUGCAGAGAAUCUGUGGGAAUCUGCCAUCCUGUCUUGUGGGACAAAUCUCCAAAUUUCCACUCCUUCACACAGCUUUCUCCCUUGGUAUGAGCUGUUAAAUAAUAACUAAAUAGCUGCUGGGUAUUAUACAAGAUCUGCUCUAAGUUUAUUGCUAUUUUUAAAAAAAAUAAUAUUUAAUUUCCCUGCUGCAUCAUACCAAUCCUUCCUCUAGAUGGUGCCCGAAACCCAAGAGUCGGGUGUGAUACUAUCCCAUAUGGAAGGCUAUUGGGAAAUAGUCAGGA